rnacentral:pre_miRNA from 1 species
UCUUCAUUCCUCAUACUCUCUCAUCGGUCAGUGUGAUGAGAGAGUAGGUGAAAUGAGGAGA